AGAACGGUUGCUGAGUAAAGCUUAACAGCGUAAAAAACCGUCGCCGGACACGAUCGAAGAGG
rnacentral:ncRNA from 1 species